AGAGUUUGAUCAUGGCUCAGGACGAACGCUGGCGGCGCGCUUAACACAUGCAAGUCGUGCGAUACCUCGAGCGAGUCUUACGACGAGCUCAAGGUAGAGCGGCGGACGGGUGAGUAACACGUGAGUAGCUGUCCUAAGGAGGGGGAUAACGCCUGGAAACGGGUGCUAAAACCCCAUAUGCCUCGCAAGAGGUGAAAGUGUAUUACUACAGCCUUAGGGUGUGCUCGCGGCCUAUCAGCUAGUUGGUGAGGUAAUGGCUCACCAAGGCUAAGACGGGUAGCCGGCCUGAGAGGGUGUACGGCCACACUGGAAUUGAGAUACGGUCCAGACUCCUACGGGAGGCAGCAGUGGGGAAUCUUGGGCAAUGGGCGAAAGCCUGACCCAGCGACGCCGCGUUGGGGAUGAAGCCCUUCGGGGUGUAAACCCAUGUUGUAGGGGACGAAGAAAGUGACGGUACCCUACGAGGAAGCCCCGGCUAACUACGUGCCAGCAGCCGCGGUAAGACGUAGGGGGCGAGCGUUGUCCGGAAUUACUGGGCGUAAAGGGCACGCAGGCGGUGCGCCAAGUCGAGGGUGUAAAGUUACGGCUCAACCGUGACAUUGCAAUCGAUACUGGCGCGCUGGAGUGCGGGAGAGGGAAGUGGAAUUCCCGGUGUAGCGGUGAAAUGCGUAGAUAUCGGGAGGAACGCCAGUGGCGAAGGCGGCUUCCUGGCCCGCGACUGACGCUCAUGUGCGAAAGCCAGGGGAGCGAACCGGAUUAGAUACCCGGGUAGUCCUGGCCGUAAACGAUGGGUGCUAGGUGUAGGCGCGUCAAGCGUCUGUGCCGAAGUUAACGCGAUAAGCACCUCGCCUGGGGAGUACGGUCGCAAGGCUGAACUCAAAGGAAUUGACGGGGGCCCGCACAAGCGGUGGAGCACGUGGUUUAAUUCGAUGCAACCGAAGAAC
rnacentral:rRNA from 1 species